rnacentral:rRNA from 1 species
AGUGAACGCUGGCGGCGUGCUUAACACAUGCAAGUCGAACGAUGAUGAAGAGCUUGCUCUUCUGAUUAGUGGCGCACGGGUGAGUAAUAUAUAGAUAACGUGCCUCUUAGUCUGGGAUAGCCAUUGGAAACGAUGAUUAAUACCGGAUACUCCUUCUAGCUCUAAUGUUAGUCGGGAAAGUUUUUUCGCUAAGAGAUCGGUCUAUAUUCCAUCAGUUAGUUGGUGAGGUAAUGGCUCACCAAGGCAAUGACGGAUAGCGGGUUUGAGAGGAUGAUCCGCCACACUGGUACUGAGACACGGACCAGACUCCUACGGGAGGCUG